GGCCCAGAUCGUUUACCGUGAAAAAAUUAGAGUGUUCAAAGCAGGCAGAUCCAAUUUUCUGCCACCGAAUACAUUAGCAUGGGAUAAUGGAAUAGGACCCUGUCCUCCUAUUUUCAGUUGGUUUUGGCAGCGCGAGGACUAGGGUAAUGAUUAAUAGGGAUAGUUGGGGGCAUUAAUAUUUAAUUGUCAGAGGUGAAAUUCUUGGAUUUAUGAAAGAUUAACUUCUGCGAAAGCAUCUGCCAAGGAUGUUUUCAUUAAUCAAGAACGAAAGUUAGGGGAUCGAAGACGAUCAGAUACCGUCGUAGUCUUAACCAUAAACGAUGCCGACCAGCGAUUAGGAGACGUUGAAUACAAAACACCACCAUCGGCGCGGUCGUCCUUGGCGUCGGUCCUUCACGGGGCCGGCGCGAGGGCGGCUAGCCCUG
rnacentral:rRNA from 1 species